rnacentral:lncRNA from 1 species
AAAAGCUGCAGCAAAAGCAAAAGGGGAGUUUUGCUUGUAGAAACACCACAGGUCUCUUGUCUGCUCUCGGAAUGUUUUUGAGAUAAACCAGAUUUUAAAAAACAAAGGGAAAAAAAAAAACCACAGCUGCUUCUUUUGCUCUCUUCCUACUUUCUUGUGCUUUGCCCCUCCCCUUUCCCAGGUGAUUGGGUUUGGGUGCUGGGCGGGGCCGAAUGGUAUAUGAGCCCCAGGCAUGCUAUCAGAGAGCUCCUUCUGCUUGGGCUGCUCUUUGGGGUGCUUUGUGCGGUCGUGGACAGGAAAGGGAAAUCCUCGUGUCGCGGAGCAGUGAGGGAAGGUGGGUGUUGUCAGCCUGCACAGUGGUUCUUUUGUCCUUUUGUGUUCCCAGGUGGCGUGGGUGAUGCUGGCCACUCCUUUCAAGCUUGGACCUAAUUUGCAGGUCCAGAGGCAAGUGGUCUGCUGUUUUGAAAGGAUAAAAGUAAAGCUGGGGUCGCUUAUGUUGUUGAGGGAUGGGUGCUACUGCUGGCAGAUAAAUGUUUAUCUUCUGCCUGUGUCUUUCCUUUGUUCAGGUUGAAAUGCAGUUCGCAGUGUAGGACGUCUCAACCCGAGCUGUCUCUGCAGUGAUGACUCUGGUGUGUGAUGAGCAGAGGUAACUUGUUUUUGGGGUGCGGUUGUCACUGCAGUUAUUUUCUUACAUGCAGUAGAGUAAAAUUCCAGUUUGCCUUUUAGAGGUGCUAUAAGUGGGUAAAGAGAAGAGAUGGAAGCAUGUGCCAUGUGGGGCAGGCAAGCGGCUGAGGUACAGGAGGGGAUGAGAGUAUGUGAUUUUUUUCUGGGGAUGAAAUGGAAUUGAUUAUUUUGGUGUAUAAUCUGUUCUGCUCCUGGAUUUUUCUUUCAAUGUGAAUAAAAGUUUGAGCUAAUUCCA